CCUACGGGGGGCAGCAGUGAGGAAUAUUGGUCAAUGGACGAGAGUCUGAACCAGCCAAGUAGCGUGAAGGAUGACUGCCCUAUGGGUUGUAAACUUCUUUUAUAUGGGAAUAAAAUGUUCCACGUGUGGGAUUUUGUAUGUACCAUAUGAAUAAGGAUCGGCUAACUCCGUGCCAGCAGCCGCGGUAAUACGGAGGAUCCGGGCGUUAUCCGGAUUUAUUGGGGUUAAAGGGAGCGUAGGUGGAUUGUUAAGUCAGUUGUGAAAGUUUGCGGAUCAACCGUAAAAUUGCAGUUGAAACUGGCAGUCUUGAGUACGGUAGAGGUAGGCGGAAUGCGUGGUGUAGCGGUGAAAUGCUUAGAUAUCACGAAGAACUCCGAUUGCGAAGGCAGUUCACUGGACUGCAACUGACACUGAGGCUCGAAAGUGUGGGUAUCAAACAGGAUUAGAUACCCGAGUAGUC
rnacentral:rRNA from 1 species